rnacentral:rRNA from 1 species
AGUAUCAUGGCUCAGAUUGAACGCUGGCGGCAUGCCUAACACAUGCAAGUCGAACGGUAACAGGAAGCAGCUUGCUGCUUUGCUGACGAGUGGCGGACGGGUGAGUAAUGUCUGGGAAACUGCCUGAUGGAGGGGGAUAACUACUGGAAACGGUAGCUAAUACCGCAUAACGUCGCAAGACCAAAGAGGGGGACCUUCGGGCCUCUUGCCAUCGGAUGUGCCCAGAUGGGAUUAG